rnacentral:rRNA from 1 species
GAUGAACGCUGGCGGCGUGCCUAAUACAUGCAAGUCGAGCGAACAGACGAGGAGCUUGCUCCUCUGCCGUUAGCGGCGGACGGGUGAGUAACACGUGGAUAACCUACCUAUAAGACUUGGAUAACUUCGGGAAACCGGAGCUAAUACCGGAUAAUAUAUUGAACCGCAUGGUUCAAUAGUGAAAGACGGUUUUGCUGUCACUUAUAGAUGGAUCCGCGCCGCAUUAGCUAGUUGGUAAGGUAACGGCUUACCAAGGCGACGAUGCGUAGCCGACCUGAGAGGGUGAUCGGCCACACUGGAACUGAGACACGGUCCAGACUCCUACGGGAGGCAGCAGUAGGGAAUAUUCCGCAAUGGGCGAAAGCCUGACGGAGCAACGCCGCGUGAGUGAUGAAGGUCUUCGGAUCGUAAAACUCUGUUAUUAGGGAAGAAAAAAUGUGUAAGUAAAUAUGCACGUCUUGACGGUACCUAAUCAGAAAGCCACGGCUAACUACGUG